rnacentral:rRNA from 1 species
AUGGAGAGUUUGAUCCUGGCUCAGGAUGAACGCUGGCGGCGUGCCUAAUACAUGCAAGUCGAGCGGCAGCGGGCUCACAAUUUGCUUCUUUCUUUUCGAUACACGAAGCGGAAAUUUUCUUCUAGAGAAUUUGCAGCUUAAAAAAACGAAAGGGUUAGCAUCUAGCUAAAAGCUAGAUAAUAGGAGCAAAAUGUGAGCGCCGGCGAGCGGCGGACGGCUGAGUAACGCGUAGGAAUGUACCCCAAACUGAGGGAUAAGCACCAGAAAUGGUGUCUAAUACCGCAUGUGAUCUUCGGAUUAAAGCUUCGGCGGUUUGGGAACGGCCUGCGUAUGAUUAGCUUGUUGGUGAGGUAAAAGCUCACCAAGGCGACGAUCAUUAGCUGGUCUGAGAGGAUGAUCAGCCAGACUGGGACUGAGACACGGUCCAGACUCCUACGGGAGGCAGCAGUAGGGAAUCUUCCACAAUGGGCGAAAGCCUGAUGGAGCAACGCCGCGUGCAGGAUGAAGGCCUUCGGGUUGUAAACUGCUUUUAUAUGUGAAGAUUUUGACGGUAACAUAUGAAUAAGGAUCGGCUAACUCCGUGCCAGCAGCCGCGGUCAUACGGAGGAUCCAAGCGUUAUCCGGAAUUACUGGGCGUAAAGAGUUGCGUAGGUGGCAUAGUAAGCAGGUAGUAAAAUCGUGUGGCUCAACCAUACUUAUAUUAUCUGAACUGCUAAGCUAGAGUAUAUGAGAGGUAGCUGGAAUUCCUAGUGUAGGAGUGAAAUCCGUAGAUAUUAGGAGGAACACCAGUGGCGAAGGCGGCUAUCUGGGCCGAAACUGACAUUGAGAUGCGAAAGCGUGGGUAGUAAACAGGAUUAGAUACCC